GUGAACAACCAAGGGCGCGCGGUGGAUGCCUAGGCUCUCGGAGGCGAUGAAGGACGCGAUAAGCCGCGAUAGGCCACGGCGAGGUGCAAGUAACCCUUGACCCGUGGAUUUCCGAAUGGGGCAACCCGGCCGUCUAGAUGACGGUCAUGCAGUAAUGCAGGCGAACGCGGGGAACUGAAACAUCUCAUUACCCGCAGGAGAAGAAAACAACAGUGAUUCCCCCAGUAGUGGCGAGCGAACGGGGAAGAGCCCAAACCGUUGCCGUUUCGGCGACAGCGGGGUCAUGGGACCGCGACAUUCGACGGAAGACGAAGUGCAAUUACCUGGAAAGGUAAGCCGUGGAGGGUGACAGCCCCGUGCACGACACCUCUUUCGAAGAUAGCGGUAUCCCGAGUAGGGCGGGACACGAGAAAUCCUGCCUGAAUUCGCCAGGACCGCCUGGCAAGGCUAAAUACUCCCGAGAGACCGAUAGUGAACCAGUACCGCGAGGGAAAGGUGAAAAGUACCCCGAGCAGGGGGGUGAAAUAGACCCUGAACCCGCGCGCCUACAAGCGGUCGGAGCCAUGAAAUAUGGUGACGGCGUGCCUUUUGCAUAAUGAGCCUACGAGUUAGUCGUCACCAGCGAGGUUAAGGGCUUCAGGCCCGUUAGCCGAAGUGAAAGCGAGCCUUAACAGGGCGUCGAGUUGGUGGCGCUAGACGCGAAACCUUGUGAUCUACCCACGAGCAGGUUGAAGUCGCGGUAACACGUGAUGGAGGACCGAACCGGUAAACGUUGAAAAGUUUUCGGAUGACUCGCGGGUAGGGGUGAAAGGCCAAUCAAACUGGGAAAUAGCUCGUACUCUCCGAAAUGCAUUUCGGUGCAGCCUGUGAUGUUCUGUUCCAGAGGUAGAGCUACUGGUUGGACGCGAGGGCUUCACCGCCUAUCAAAUCCGGAUAAACUCCGAAUGCUGGAACACGAAAUCAUGGAGUGAGCCCGCGGGUGCUAAGGUCCGCGGACGAGAGGGAAAGAACCCGGACCACCGGCUAAGGUCCCGGAUGGACAGUUAAGUUGAUCAAACGAGGUGGGAUCGCGGAGACAGCUAGGAUGUUGGCUUGGAAGCAGCCAUUCAUUUAAAGAGUGCGUAACAGCUCACUAGUCGAGCGAUCCCGCGUGGAUAAUACACGGGCAUCAAACUGUCAACCGAAGCCGUGGGGUCAGCGAAAAGCUGACCGGUAGGAGAGCAUUCCUGCCAGCGUUGAAGGUCACCCGCGAGAGUGACUGGAGCGGCAUGAAAAGCAAAUGUAGGCAUAAGUAACGAUAAUGGGGGCGAGAACCCCCCACGCCGCAAGACCAAGGAUUCCCCGGCAAUGUCAAUCAGCCGGGGGUCAGCCGGCCUCUAAGGCUCACCCGAAAGGGGAUGCCGACGAGAAACGGGUUAACAUUCCCGUGCUUCUCGUCACCGUGACGCGGUGACGGGGUGAUGAAUGGACCGCGCGCUGACGGAAUAGCGCGUUGAAGGCCGUACCCUUCGAGGGUGGUAGUCAAGCACGCCACCCGAGGCGAUAGCCGAUAGUACCACGAGACUCCGGUCGAGUGGAUAGCGUCCAGGCAAUUUACCCCCGAGAAAACCCGCUAAACUUCAAGUGACGAGGAACCGUACUGUAAACGGACACACGUGGUCGGGUAGAACAUACCAAGGCGCUCGAGUGAUUCAUGGUCAAGGAACUAGGCAAAAUAGUCCUGUAACUUCGGGAAAAAGGACGCUCUAGUGAUAGAGCCGCAGAGUAAUGGCCCAGGCGACUGUUUACCAAAAACACAUGGCUAUGCCAAAUCGAAAGAUGACGUAUAUGGCCUGACACCUGCCCGGUGCCGGAAGGUUAAGAGGAGAGCUCAUCGGAAACGAGAAGGUUUGAAUUGAAGCCCCGGUAAACGGCGGCCGUAACUAUAACGGUCCUAAGGUAGCGAAAUUCCUUGUCGG
rnacentral:rRNA from 1 species